rnacentral:tRNA from 1 species
UCCUCGAUAGCUCAGCGGUAGAGUAGGUGGCUGUUAACCACUUGGUCGUAGGUUCGAAUCCUACUCGAGGAGCCA